rnacentral:rRNA from 1 species
UACGGGGGGAGCAAGCGUUGUUCGGAUUUACUGGGCGUAAAGGGCGCGUAGGCGGCUCGUGAAGUCGGGUGUGAAAGCCCGGGGCUCAACCCCGGAACGGCAUCCGAUACUGGCGGGCUUGAGACCGGGAGAGGAGGGUGGAAUACCCAGUGUAGAGGUGAAAUUCGUAGAUAUUGGGUGGAACACCGGUGGCGAAGGCGGCCCGCUGGGCAACUGCUGACACUGAUGCGCGACAGCGUGGGGAGCAAACAGG